rnacentral:rRNA from 1 species
GUACGGGAGGCAGCAGCUAAGAAUCUUCCGCAAUGGGGGAAACCCUGACGGAGCGACGCCGCGUGGGCGAUGAAGGCCGGAAGGUUGUAAAGCCCUUUUCUUGGCGAAGAAUAAGGCUGGAAGUGGACUGUCCAGCUGAUGACGUUAGCCGAGGAAUAAGCCCCGGCCAAUUACGUGCCAGCAGCCGCGGUAACACGUAUGGGGCGAGCGUUGUUCGGAGUUAUUGGGCGUAAAGGGCGUGUAGGCGGCUUUCGCAAGCUUGGUGUUAAAGGUUUCGGCCUAACCGGAACAGUGCGCUGAGAACUGCGGAGCUGGAGUCUAGGAGGGGGAGCUGGAAUUCCUGGUGUAGGGGUGAAAUCUGUAGAUAUCAGGAAGAACACCGGUGGCGAAGGCGAGCUCCUGGCCAUAGACUGACGCUGAGGCGCGAAAGCGUGGGGAGCAAACAGGAUUAGAUACCCUGGU